GACGAACGCUGGCGGCGUGCCUAAUACAUGCAAGUUGAGCGCUGAAGGUUGGUACUUGUACCGACUGGAUGAGCAGCGAACGGGUGAGUAACGCGUGGGGAGUCUGCCUUUGAGCGGGGGACAACAUUUGGAAACGAAUGCUAAUACCGCAUAAAAACUUUAAACACAAGUUUUAAGUUUGAAAGAUGCAAUUGCAUCACUCAAAGAUGAUCCCGCGUUGUAUUAGCUAGUUGGUGAGGUAAAGGCUCACCAAGGCGAUGAUACAUAGCCGACCUGAGAGGGUGAUCGGCCACAUUGGGACUGAGACACGGCCCAAACUCCUACGGGGGGCAGCAGGAGGGAAUCUUCGGAAAUGGACGAAAGUCUGACCGAGCAACGCCGCGUGAGGGAAGAAGGUUUUCGGAUCGUAAAACUCUGUUGGUAGAGAAGAACGUUGGUGAGAGUGGAAAGCUCAUCAAGUGACGGUAACUACCCAGAAAGGGACGGCUAACUACGUG
rnacentral:rRNA from 1 species